GUAAUAACAUUCCUAUACUUGUGCAUACAGUGGACACAGAGCAGGUAGGGAGCAGGGAUAAUAACAUUCCUCUACUUGUACAUACAGUGGACACAGAGCAGGUAGGGAGCAGGGAUAAUAACAUUCCUCUACUUGUACAUACAGUGGACACAGAGCAGGUAGGGAGCAGGGAUAAUAACAUUCCUCUACUUGUACAUACAGUGGACACAGAGCAGGUAGGGAGCAGGGAUAAUAACAUUCCUCUACUUGUACAUACAGUGGACACAGAGCAGGUAGGGAGCAGGGAUAAUAACAUUCCUAUACUUGUACAUACAGUGGACACAGAGCAGGUAGGGAGCAGGGAUAAUAACAUUCCUCUACUUGUACAUACAGUGGACACAGAGCAGGUAGGGAGCAGGGAUAAUAACAUUCCUCUACUUGUACAUACAGUGGACACAGAGCAGGUAGGGAGCAGGGAUAAUAACAUUCCUAUACUUGUACAUACAGUGGACACAGAGCAGGUAGGGAGCAGGGAUAAUAACAUUCCUCUACUUGUACAUACAGUGGACACAGAGCAGGUAGGGAGCAGGGAUAAUAACAUUCCUCUACUUGUACAUACAGUGGACACAGAGCAGGUAGGGAGCAGGGAUAAUAACAUUCCUCUACUUGUACAUACAGUGGACACAGAGCAGGUAGGGAGCAGGGAUAAUAACAUUCCUAUACUUGUACAUACAGUGGACACAGAGCAGGUAGGGAGCAGGGAUAAUAACAUUCCUAUACUUGUACAUACAGUGGACACAGAGCAGGUAGGGAGCAGGGAUAAUAACAUUCCUCUACUUGUACAUACAGUGGACACAGAGCAGGUAGGGAGCAGGGAUAAUAACAUUCCUCUACUUGUACAUACAGUGGACAGUCAUUGAGAACAACCUUCGAGCUUUCCUUGUUUUUUCAACAUUGUGUCAUGUUUAUAAUGUGUUGAUUGCCUGUAUAAAGCCUCGCUACUGUUAUUUUACUGCUGCUCUUUAAUUAUUUGUUAUUUUUCUAUUUUCCUUUCCUUUUCUUCUUCUAUGUUUUUUUUAACUUAGCACUUAUUUUUCUCAAAACAUUGUUGGUUAAGGACUUGUAAGUAAGCAUUUCACUGUAAGGUCUACUGACACCUGUUGUAUUCGGCGCAUGUGACAAAUAACAUUUGAUUUGAUUUGGUU